AUCCAGCUGACGAAUCCCAAAUAGGGAGAAACGCGCGUCCUGCAU
rfam:Schistosoma curassoni strain Dakar, Senegal genome assembly, scaffold: SCTD_scaffold0006539